UACGAAGGGUGCUAGCGUUGUUCGGAAUCAUUGGGCGUAAAGCGUACGUAGGCGGUUUAGUAAGUCAAUUGUGAAAUCCCAGAGCUUAACUUUGGAAUUGCAAUUGAAACUGCUAUGACUAGAGUGUGGUAGGGGAUAGUGGAAUUCCUAGUGUAGGGGUGAAAUCCGUAGAUAUUAGGAGGAACACCGGUGGCGAAAGCGACUAUCUAGGCCAUCACUGACGCUAAGGUACGAAAGCGUGGGGAGCAAACAGG
rnacentral:rRNA from 1 species